rnacentral:rRNA from 1 species
GAACGAACGCUGGCGGCGCGUCUUAAACAUGCAAAGUCGAACCGAUCUGUAGCAAUACAGGGAGUGGCGGACGGGUGAGGAACACGUAGGAAUCUACCUUGAAGAGCGGGACAACUUUGGGAAACCGGGGCUAAUACCGCAUAGUACAGAGAUGUUAAAGGGCUAGCAAUAGUCGCUUCGAGAUGAGCCUGCGGUCUAUCAGCUUGUUGGUGAGGUAAUGGCUCACCAAGGCUACGACGGAUAGCCGGUCUGAGAGGAUGAUCGGCCACACUGGCACUGAGACACGGGCCAGACUCCUACGGGAGGCAGCAGUUAAGAAUCUUGCGCAAUGGGGGAAACCCUGACGCAGCGACGCCGCGUGAAGGAUGAAGGCUUUCGGGUUGUAAACUUCGGUAGACUGGGAAGAAGAAAUACGUUCGUUGAGGGCGUAUAGUGACGGUACCAGUCUGAAGCCCCGGCUAAUUACGUG